rnacentral:tRNA from 1 species
GCCGGCAUAGCUCAACUGGGAGAGCACCACCCUUGUAAGGUGGCUGUGAGCGUUCGAUCCGCUCUGCCGGCC